UACGGAGGGUGCGAGCGUUGUCCGGAUUUAUUGGGCGUAAAGAGCCCGCAGGCGGCUUGGCAAGUUUGAGGUGAAAUCUCCCGGCUUAACUGGGAGGGGGCCUCGAAAACUGCCAGGCUUGAGGCAUGGAGAGGGAUGCGGAAUUCCCGGUGUAGUGGUGAAAUGCGUAGAUAUCGGGAGGAACACCUGUGGCGAAAGCGGCUCACUGGACCAUUACUGACGCUGAUGGCACGAAAGCUAGGGGAGCGAACAGG
rnacentral:rRNA from 1 species